rnacentral:rRNA from 1 species
AGUGAACGCUGGCGGUAGGCCUAACACAUGCAAGUCGAACGGCAGCACAGUAAGAGCUUGCUCUUACGGGUGGCGAGUGGCGGACGGGUGAGGCAUACAUCGGAAUCUACUUUUUCGUGGGGGAUAACGUAGGGAAACUUACGCUAAUACCGCAUACGACCUACGGCUGAAAGCAGGAGAUCUUCGGACCUUGCGCGAUUGAAUGAGCCGAUGUCGGAUUAGCUAGUUGGCGAGGUAAAGGCCCACCAAGGCGACGAUCCGUAGCUGGUCUGAGAGGAUGAUCGGCCACACUGGAACUGAGACACGGUCCAGACUCCUACGGGAGGCAGCAGUGGGGAAUCUUGCGCAAUGGGCGAAAGCCUGACCCAGCAAUGCCGCGUGAGUGAUGAAGGUCUUCGGAUUGUAAAGCUCUUUUAUUAGGGAAGAACAAAAGCGGGUGUAUCCAUGGCUGUUCUGACGGUACCUAAUGAAAAAGCCCCGGCUAACUUCGUG